rnacentral:lncRNA from 1 species
UCGAGCGGCCGCCACCCAAUCUCCGUUGCUCGGCUGCGCUCCUCAUUGGACAUCGAAACCAAACGAACAGAAAUCCAAUCUUUUAUGCCCAAUCUUCCUGCUCAAUUCCUCAACUGCCAGCAAAAUCCUCCAAUUUCAGAAGACCGGCUCAAGUAAAGAUGCAAUCUUUUCUUCCAUUCCUGCACGGAUGUAGCUUCAGCCAAGGCGGCCGUGGUGCCCGAGGCCCAGCUCGUCGUCGCCGGCGAGGCACUCGCCCAGGACCCCCCGCGGCACCCAGCGGCAGCGGGUUCUGCGCGCGGGGAGGAGCGUGAACAGGAUGUGGGUGCCGCCGUCGGGCAGGGCGGCGGGUGCGCGGUGGUGUCCGACGAAAUGCUGAUGGCGAACUGGGGUGCACAGUACAGGCAGC